GAGGGUGUAGCUCAGUGGUAAAGCGUCUGCUUAGCAUGCACAAGGUCCUGGGUUCAAUCCCCAAGUACCACCA
rnacentral:tRNA from 1 species